rnacentral:lncRNA from 1 species
UUAGUACUUAAUUGUGCUAAUUCCAUAUUUCUCUAUUUUCUACUAGUGUAGGUUCCGGAAAGUGAGCGGGUUCUAUAGUAAGCUUGGAACUUGAAGUUCUUCCAAGAUCUUGUGGUAUGUCCUCAUAUGUCGAGGACAAGACUUUUCUAUUCUAAUUUUAUGAUAAGGUUCUUGUAAUAGACUUGAUAGACUUUUUUUGAUUAUAAAGGGCCGUGUCCCUACUUAUGUUUUGUGAUUGUGUCUAAGAUGGCCAUGUGAGACUUAGACUUCCGCUGUGUGUUUUUAAAGUUGUUUUAAUGAAGCUUGAAUGUUUGGAUGUAAAUAAGUUUUU